UUGGAGGGUAGCUAGAGUGGAAAAGAGAAAAAAGAGGUGAAUGGCGGUUAGGACCUCCCAUUUUAUUUUGGAACAUCUAGAGGGGGCUUGAUAGAAGAAGUUUUGAUAAUCUGAUUCGUCGUGGUCAUAUGUUAGUGAACUGUGUUGCAUGUGCUGUGGAUAUGCGGAGAUGGUGGAUUACUUGCUUGUUUGUUGUCCGGUUACUUCACGUCUUUGGAUGUUUAUUGUUGCUAUUUUUGGUUUUCCUUGGAUUCGACAAUGGUCAGUGAUGGCAGUGUUAUAGAGUUGGGCUGGGGAAGGGUUGGGAAGAGAUGUCGGAAGGCAUGGAAGCUUGUUGGCCAUUGUUUGAUGUGGCUAGUUUGGUUGGAGCGUAACAGGCGAGUUUUUUUGGGAGAGACGCGUUUGGUGCCAUGGUUCGAAUGGCGUUUGUUCACUGUGUUCCAUGGCUAGAUAUCGUUAUCAGUACACCCGGAUGUGCUAACUUUUGUUGACUUUGUAGAGGACUUGAUUCUAUAGUUGUUUUGUUUUACUCUUGUAUAUGUUUUUUGCUUGCUUUUGGUUUUAUAUUCUUUGUAUCGUCUUGAUGCUUUUUCAAUGAAGUUUGCUUAUUAUCAAAAAAAAGAAAAGAAAAGAAAAGGGUCUUAAGACUUCCAUUUUUGUUUUAAAAGUAAAAUUCUAACCAUCUUUUGCAAUUGGAUCUCGAGAGCCUUCAUUGAAUCCGUUUUUGAAUUUUGUUGAGAAAUUUGAAUAUAUUGAUGUAUAGGAGUUGUUUUUUUUUUUUUUUUUUGGUUCUUAUAGCGUAAAACAUGGGCAGCAUCUGUUGAGAGUUUAUGAAUCUAGUUGUGUUCUGGUGUCCUUGGACAUAAAAGGUUUGAUGAACUUGAUAGUUCAGCACAUGCAGGCACCUGAAACCCGUUUCCGAGUGCAUGUAACAUAGCUUUGAAGUUAUAUGAAGAUAUAACUAUGUCUAUAUUCCUAUGCCUAUAAUACAUACCUGUUGGGAUAUAUUUACAUAUACAUGUAUAAGUAUAACACAACCCCAGAUUAUACAUUCUAAGACUUUGUGAAUCUCCGUUCCUUAUUUUUGGAGCUUCCACAAUUGAGAAGUGUGACGUCCAUGGAGCUGGGUUGUGAUGCCCGUGGCUAUUCUCAUGCUGGAAAUGAAACAGCGAUUUGGUACUGUGUUAUUCUAGCAGGAAGAUCAAGCCCAGAACUCAACAAAAUGCAUGCAACUCUGCGCAGGAUCCAAGAAGCACUGUCCACAGUUGAUAAAGAUCAGCCGUCAUCACUAGCAGCUGUUGCACUGAAGCAAAAGCGGUUGAUAUUUACCUGGCUUGAUGGGGAAGCCCCAACAAGUGUCACCUUUUGUUUGUCAGGCAUGUCAAUGUUUUCCAAGUUUAGUUGUAGUUCAAUUCACAUUUGUCGUAGUGAAUGGAUUAAUUAAUUUGAGGGUCAUGUAUGUGAUGUGUAUGGUACUUGGUCGCAAUUUAUUCUGAAAUUUUAUUCUCUGUCGAACUUAGUUGGGAUCA